rnacentral:lncRNA from 13 species
GGCAACACUUAGAACUUCCAGAUCAAACCCAUGAGCUGCUACAGUUUUUUUUCCAGAGCUCUGCAUUGAAGUUUCUGGGCUGGUAUUUGGAGACAUAGAAGACGAAUUAGUCACAACCCUGUGUUCACAUUCCAGCAGGGCAGAGGCUAAAGCAGAUUUCAAAACAUUUGAGGAGUCCAAAGGCAGUGCUGAACUGUCAAAAGGGUCAUGGCAG